rnacentral:tRNA from 1 species
GCCUGGUUGGCUCAGGCAGUGGAGCAUGGGACUCUUGAUCUCAGGGUUGUGGGUUCAAGCUCCAUGUUGGGUG